UAUACAUGCAGUCGAGCGAUCGAUGGGAGCUUGCUCCCUGAGAUUAGCGGCGGACGGGUGAGUAACACGUGGGCAACCUGCCUAUAAGACUGGGAUAACUUCGGGAAACCGGAGCUAAUACCGGAUACGUUCUUUUCUCGCAUGAGAGAAGAUGGAAAGACGGUUUACGCUGUCACUUAUAGAUGGGCCCGCGGCGCAUUAGCUAGUUGGUGAGGUAAUGGCUCACCAAGGCGACGAUGCGUAGCCGACCUGAGAGGGUGAUCGGCCACACUGGGACUGAGACACGGCCCAGACUCCUACGGGAGGCAGCAGUAGGGAAUCUUCCGCAAUGGACGAAAGUCUGACGGAGCAACGCCGCGUGAACGAAGAAGGCCUUCGGGUCGUAAAGUUCUGUUGUUAGGGAAGAACAAGUACCAGAGUAACUGCUGGUACCUUGACGGUACCUAACCAGAAAGCCACGGCUAACUACGUGCCAGCAGCCGCGGUAAUACGUAGGUGGCAAGCGUUGUCCGGAAUUAUUGGGCGUAAAGCGCGCGCAGGU
rnacentral:rRNA from 1 species